GCACAACUGGAUAGCUCAGUCGGUAGAGCAUGAGACUCUUAAGCUCAGGGUUGUGGGUUCGAGCCCCACACUGGGCA